UUAUAAUCAAUAUCGCGUGCUUUUUGUU
rnacentral:sRNA from 1 species